GCUCUGGUGGAUUAGUGGUUAGAGCAUCUGCCUUGGAUGCAGGAUGUCUCAGGUUCAAACCCAUUGGCAGAGUCA